ensembl:lncRNA
CGAACGCGGAUGGUGAUAUCCUUCCGCCGUCUCCUCAGGAUGGGCUGACGCGCUCAGCCGAGCCAGGCCGCGGCGGGAGGAGGAGGGCGGCGUAGAAGAUAGCGAGCCUCAUGCAGCCAAGCAAUGGGAAGAGGCUCCAUCCCAGAAUAGCCUGUCCUCUCUUCAGGCCUGGAAGCCCUCUGCCAUGUCUCUUGCUGUUUGUUGAAAGCCUCCAUGGAACAAAACUUCAGCCCAGGCCCCCACUUGACACAAGACACUGCAGAAGUUUCUCCUUCCUUCAGCAACGAAGCAAACGCCAGCAGAGAAGAAGGUUCUUUCACCACAGAGGCAGCAUUGCCCUUAAGUGAACCAGCAUCUACACAUGCAAAGCCUUCACCCCAAGUGGGGAAGACCUUUUAACUUGACUCUGCCAGACAUCAAGGGGAUUAAGGGUACCAUUUAACUCGGCCCAACUUCUCAGUUAACAGUAUCCUUGCAUGCACCUCCACUGCUCUUUUGCAGCACUGGGCAAGCUCACUUGAGCCAACUCUUGAGGCUUUUAUCUUUAAAGGAAGCACAGAUAGAAAGUUCAAUAAGCCAUGGAGAUGCAACCCGAAGCAUAACAUAACUGGUUCCAGCCACACAAAGGAAUGGGAACAGCCAGCACCCUGCAAGCUCCAGGGCUGUCACUGAGAGAUCAUAGGCACUGUUGGCCCUGUUGACCUCAACCAGCUACAGCUUUUGAAACCACACAAGGUAUUUUAAGCCGAACUCCCGGAUCUGAAGACAAGAUUUGAGUCUGUUCAGAGCUGUUCUGCUGGCAUCCAACCACAGAACCAAAAUCCUCAUUCAACCCCAAUGAGAUUUUCCUUCCCGGGCACCUCUGAGAUCCUUCAGAACUGAAAAUGCUGGUUUGCCUUUCAUGAACCCAAGUUCCAAUGUUUGCCACCAACGGAGGAAAAAGCCAGCAUUUACCACACAAGGUUUUUUCCUAUACUAAUGGCAGGAAAUACCACAAAUACCAGGAUGAAAUAAAAAUCCACAGCCCCUCCAGAUGCCACAUGAAUUAGCAAGGGCUGGGAGAGCUGGAACAUGAUGAGAAAUCUUACUCCUCUGUCAUCUGGCUCGAGGACAAGGAGGAAAGGUCUCUGAAGAAAGUCAGCUCCCAGGGGGCUCACAACUGAGAAGCGUUUCAGCUGCCCAACUGUAAGAGCCUCACUCUCCCCCUCUCAGACCCAGAUGACUUCAUUUUCUUCUGUUGCUACUCCCACUCCCACAUACUCCUGAGAAAAGGACAUCGGUCAUGACAUCAAAGUACAAGAAUCCAUCAAACUGCACUUCUGUAUCUCAUCUUCCCAAGGCUGCACUUGCUCUAUGGUCCUGCUGGCAAGAAGCCACCACAGAAAACAGAUUUACCCUGCUGGGAGCAGCCAGGUCCAAAUCAACAUCAAGCUGAAAUUACUGCAUGGAGCACUAAAAACCUUUGGUUUUGGCUUCUUAUGCAUGCAACUUUUGACUGCAAGCUCUGUCUGAACACGAUCAGCAUUAUUGGUACAACCUGCUCAGGAAAUCUCUAAAAAAGAUUGAGCCACUGCUGUAUGAUGAGGGAAGAUGUCUUGAUUUAAGAACACAGGCAUUACUAGAAAGGGAAAAAAUAAAAGGGUCCCUUACUGUUCUGACAUAUCAAAAGCAGACUAAUGAACCACUAGUUCAUAGAAUGACCCUGCUCAUCAUUUCAGAGCCAGGCUGGCCUUUUGUGUUAAGGACACUGAAUAACAAGAGCAAGAACAAACAGAAAGAAUCCUUUCCCCAUGCCCAAAGUAAAUUUUGAAAUGAAAUCAUUUAAAACUACACCCGGCUGCCCUACUUUAAGGUCCACUUAAGAACAGAUGAAAAGUUUUGUUCUAUUGGCAAAACUGAAUCAAGGCUUUUGAUCCUCAAAGAUCUCUUAAUCGCUUUGCACAUCAGUUCUUUUCAUUAUUUCAAACACACUUGAAGACAGCUCCCUUUUUCUCUCUCUCCCUUUUUUUCCCCCCCAAAAAAAACUUCUCUGUGUUUGGGCCAUUUUCCAGCCAACUGUGCCACUACAGCAGAAAGCUGUUGGUUCUUUACUCACUCCAAGUUGCAACAUAUACGCAUUGUGAUUUGCCUUAGGGAAGUCUCAAAAAGCCCGGCCCUUGCAACUAACUGUGCUAGCUCACAGCAUCCACCUCUUCAUCCUUCUAAUGCUUCACAAGAGUUCCAAGGAAGAUUAUAAGCCUCUGGUUAAAAAAAGAAAGUAGUUGUUGGUGGCAUUGUUAUUGUGUUGCAUUUGGUUUUGUUUCUUUUUCUUUUUUAAAGCUUGACUCAGAAUUGCAAUCUUGGCCACAUAAACUCAACUUAAUUCAAGGGUUCUUCAAAAUUUCACGUCUCUGCAAUUCCAUUAAGUCAAAUACUACACCAAAUCAGCAGUGCUGCACAAAAAACUUCUGUCAGAAGUGGUAAUAACUCUGGCCACCUUAGCACUCUAGUAAAUGGGAGGAGUGCUUAACCAGACUAAGAUAGAGCUUACCAACAAAUAUGUACAGUACCCUUCAGUUUUUUACUUAAUUCUUGCUCCUGGCUUUUAGCUCGCUAACUGAAAGGGCAGAGACUUUCUGAAACAAAGAUCAGCUGCUUGUUUGUGGUCUGUGAAUGAACUUGCCACAAGUGGACUGCUUACAAUUGUAAUAAAGACUAUAGACAGGAGAGGCAGGAGGUGGAGUCAGUUAGCUGGCUGACAAACUCAUGGGGGGGAUGGAUAACAUCAAAAACAAACUCCACCUGGAAAGCUGCAUGUAGGCAGUACAGCAGAGCAACAGUUUAAUGCGUUCAGUGCCGUAGGCAUUGUUUAGCAAGUGGGUGGAUGCUUUGUGAGCCAGCUUCAUCUACCCAAAUGGUGUCAAAGCCAUUGUAAACUGCCUUGUUAAAUGCUGGUCACAAAGCAAUACUGAGCCGAGGAGGGCCAGCAACAGAAGGCUCCUGGCUGCAUCAACACAGAACAGGCGUAUGCUCUGUCAUGAUAAAGGAUGCAGAUAAUAACUGUAUGCUGCUCCACAUGAACCUCUCAUUCAGGCCAGUCAAUACUGCCAGCCUGAGACCCACCAGCAGUUUCAGAGGAGACCGCCUUCAUGUGAUCUGGGUUACCAGAGACCCCUCCGUGUCCCC